rnacentral:rRNA from 2 species
UAGGGAAUCUUCGGCAAUGGGGGGAACCCUGACCGAGCAACGCCGCGUGAGUGAAGAAGGUUUUCGGAUCGUAAAGCUCUGUUGUUAAGGAAGAACGAGUGUGAGAAUGGAAAGUUCAUACUGUGACGGUACUUAACCAGAAAGGGACGGCUAACUACGUGCCAGCAGCCGCGGUAAUACGUAGGUCCCGAGCGUUGUCCGGAUUUAUUGGGCGUAAAGCGAGCGCAGGCGGUUAGAAAAGUCUGAAGUGAAAGGCAGUGGCUCAACCAUUGUAGGCUUUGGAAACUGUUUAACUUGAGUGCAGAAGGGGAGAGUGGAAUUCCAUGUGUAGCGGUGAAAUGCGUAGAUAUAUGGGGGAACACCGGUGGCGAAAGCGGCUCUCUGGUCUGUAACUGACGCUGAGGCUCGAAAGCGUGGGGAGCGAACAGG